rnacentral:rRNA from 1 species
UAGGGAAUCUUCGGCAAUGGACGAAAGUCUGACCGAGCAACGCCGCGUGAGUGAAGAAGGUUUUCGGAUCGUAAAACUCUGUUGUUAGAGAAGAACAAGGACGUUAGUAACUGAACGUCCCCUGACGGUAUCUAACCAGAAAGCCACGGCUAACUACGUGCCAGCAGCCGCGGUAAUACGUAGGUGGCAAGCGUUGUCCGGAUUUAUUUGGCGUAAAGCGAGCGCAGGCGGUUUCUUAAGUCUGAUGUGAAAGCCCCCGGCUCAACCGGGGAGGGUCAUUGGAAACUGGGGGGCUUGAGUGCAGAAGAGGAGAGUGGAAUUCCAUGUGUAGCGGUGAAAUGCGUAGAUAUAUGGAGGAACACCAGUGGCGAAGGCGGCUCUCUGGUCUGUAACUGACGCUGAGGCUCGAAAGCGUGGGGAGCAAACAGG